rnacentral:lncRNA from 1 species
UUAAUGGAAGGUUAGAUCAUUGUUUCUAUUUUUAAGAGCUUUAAUCUUUUAUAUACUGUAUUUAAUAACUCCAUUUGUUUAAUUUUUAUCGAGAUAUGGAAGAGGCGGGGUAGAAAUGCAAGGAGCUGAGAAUACAAGGAGCUGGAAAUUUGCAUAAUAACAGUAAGUUUAGUUUAUUUUAUGUAUGUUUUGUAUGCCUAUGUCGAUAUAUCAUGUUGAAUAUUUUGCAUAAUAACAGUAACUCCAUU